rnacentral:lncRNA from 1 species
CACCAGUAUGGAGAGGCAACAGUCUUUAGAUGACUGGGACUCACCAUUUGAAAAGAGAGUCUUCCACCCUGAACAUGGGCCAUAGAAACACUGGCAAUUCAUUACUCUUUAGCUCUCCUUUUUUUGGUCUCUAUCAGUUGCCAGGAGCUUCUCUCACUGGAUUACCUCAUGGGCCUGCUCCAAUUAAUUAGAUAACUGCAUCUCUUACAUUAGCUAAUCUUUAAAUUAGUCUCCUCCUAAUGAAAUUUUAAGGAAGGCCCACAGGCUCCUUGAUGAAAUUUGAAAGGCCUCUUGGUCUUAUCAGCCACAAUUUUUAGAAAUUAUUAACUUAAGCAACAUUACAGCCAAAAGAAUCCAUUGAGUAUGAAGCUCAAACAACACAUCUUCCUGUGGUCAUUCUCAAGUGCUAUUGGACACAUUUUCUCCAUGUUCUAACGAAUGUCUGUGCCCUCUGUUUUGUUCUGCCUUUUUCAUACAGUGUUAUUCCAUAAACAAAUCUUCAAUAUUAAUCAUGUUUUAAUAGCAAGUUAUUCCAACAAAAUAUUCAUCUUAGCAUGCUGAGAUAUGUCCCUCCAGUGGGGUGUUUGAAGCAGCUAAAAAUCUCAGCUGGCAGAUAUGAUGUCUACAAGACACGAAGGAUAUGAGGGCACUGGGAAUGACAUGAAACAAACAGAAAUGAAAUAAACUGCACAACAUUAGAGUUGGGAGUAUCCUAGGGGCCUGUCUGGUCUAAUCCUUUCAUUUUACAAAUGUAAAAACUGAGGCCCAAUGAGGAGAUGUGACUUGCCUGAGGCUACAUAAUUAAUCAGCCCCCUCCAUUGGGUGGGGACAAGCUCCAGCAAAGGAGCAGCUUCUGCUGGCCUUCCGGGAGUAAGGAAGAGUGCUGUGGUGAUGGGUUGCUGCUCUGCAGACAUGACCCAGCAGCCUCACAAAGGGUCAGCACAGAGGCAUCCAUGCUCAGAUCUUGGGCUGGAAGCAUCCCACAGAGGGGAAAGGAAGGCAUCAGAGCCAAACAUGUGGCAUUCGUCCACUCCCACCCAGCACUUGGAGGUGUGAAAAGACAUCCCAAAAGGGAGAACCCAAAAGAGACAGGCAGCUAGAAACUCCUACACAGCUCGCUUCGCUGCAAGACAGAGCCAAGCAUGCCAAGCACGGGGGCGAGGAGCCCAGGCAGGAGGGGCCUUGGAAAAGUCAUAAACAGCAGCUGCAACGUGAAGAUCCACCCCACCCCCAAAACCUCCCCCAUGGAGUCAGGUAGACUGGCAUGUACUGGAACGGUGGGACUGGGUUGAACUUUCGAAGCCAGCUGGUCUCACUACCUCCUCUGACAGAUGUAGAGACCAAGACCUAGGAUCAGGAAGGGUCUCACUCACUCAAGGUCACACACAGAAUGAGGGGCUGACCUGUUUAUAGAAUGGAGCAGUCCUAAUUCCAGUCCAGGACACUGUCCUGGGGUCUCCCUUUUUCUGGGGCCAGGGAAAGUAAAUAAUAGCAACUUUUGGAGGGAUGGGUGUAUAAGAUGACACCAAUUGAUUAAUUAGGCGUUUGUUGACUCCAGCCACCUAUUCACACAUUCUUCUAGAUGUCAGCAUUUGUUGCUUCGGUGGCUUUAACUGGCUGUAGGGUCUUAGGAAAACUGCAUAGAUUUGCAUGGUUCUAUUUCUUCACCUGCAAAAUGGGGCUAAUAAUUGGACCUACUUCAUGGGUGGUUGUAUGAGUUAAAUGUGAAGCACUUAGCACAAUACCUGGGGCUGUGAUGAAUGGUAUGUUAUCAUUCUAUUCCACCAGAGGACUGCUUCCUCCACCCAUGCAGCCUUUCCCAUGGGAAAGUUUCCAUUUCUCCAAUGGGUUUACAUCAUCUACUAUCUUCUCAAUGUGGUAACUGUGCAUCUCUGUCUUCACGAAUCAAGAGCUGACUCACCACAAGUUCCAGACCAGUGUUUCCCAAACUGGAGUAUUUUCCGAGAGUUAUGAAUUCUUGAAGUGUCUUUUUUCAUCUUGUUAAUUAUAGAUUUAGGAAAAUCUACCUCAUCCCUUGAGGGAAGAGAAAUGUCCCCAAAGCUGCUGGCUCCCCUCUCUCCUCUGCAUUAAGUUCGUUUCUUUUUGAUUGCCCUCUGGUUCUAAUCAUUCAAGAAGAGAGCGGCCCCAGGCACCAAAUUAGAACUGGAAGCGAGGGGAUGAGAAAAAGACCCAGAAUGAAUGAUAGGCUUUGGAAAAGGGCAAAUUGCAGUUCUCCCCGUAUCUUCUGGGAGCCAGCUCUUUUCUAAAGGAUUUAAGGGAGGCUAAGGACCCAUGGGGAGGCAAGAAGAUGGGAGUCUGGGAACAGGAUACUGCGGAUAAGAAUUUGUUCUUCUUUAAGCCUCCAAGGGAAAAAAAAAAAAAAAAACCAGGAGGGAAAAUUGUAAACUAACCCUUUGCUUAGUUUGCCCAGAAUCCUUCAGCGGGGUGAGCACCACCAUCCUGAAGGUCAACCUCCACUCACAAGGGUUCAUGUGCUACAACUGCCUGGACCCAAUACCACUCUUGGGGACUCUUCCCAGUCAAUACCGGCAAAGGUGGCUGUUGACCCAGGGGUGCUUCUGGGGAUCUCUGAGAACAGGAGAAGAGGAAAGGUGAUCUUAGUAGGGAUGACACAUUCCUUGCUUCCUGUUCAAGAUUGCAGAGCACUUUCCCAUGAGCUUCUGGAUUGACCAGAGGAACAGCAAGAAUACUCCUGUUUGCAGAGAAAUGGCUCACACAGCCAGCCAGUAGUAGGGAGAACUGAAAAUACUUGUCCUUAAUCCUAGAGUGCAAGAAAUAAGCAUGGCAAGCCCUGGAAAGAACAUCAGGAAAGCAUUUCUUCCAGAUAAGGUCCAAGCAUGCUCAUUUUAUAGAUGAGACACCUGAGGCCCAGGGAGAUGAAGGGCUUGUCCAGAGCACUAAGUUUUUAGCUGUGGAGGAAGACUAGAACCCAGGCCUCCUGGAUCCACUUUUCUUCCCCAUCCCUGCAGCCUCCAUCCCAGGGAGUCUGGAGUCUUUUCCAGUGUACUGUGUGACCUCAGGGCCUCCUGCAGAGCCCUGUACACUGUUGCCUUCUCAAAUGCCCUCCUGCCCCUAUCAUUUCUUCCUCAUGAGUCACUACCAUAUUAUAAGUUAUAAAUAUUGGGGCCCAUUUGGAUAUGUUUGUUUGGAUAGCUCACAUAUUUAAGUUUUUAUUAGGAAAUGCAAAAAAAUGCAACAAAUACUAUUGAUAUAGUUUGGAUGUUGUCCUCUCUACGUCUCACGUUAAAUUGUAAUCCCCAGUGUUGGAGGUGGGCCGUGGUGGGAGGUGAUUGUAUCAUGGAGGUGGAUUUCUCAAGAAUGGUUUAGCGCCGUCCUCUUCAUGCUAUCCUUGCAAUAGUGAGUGAGUUAUUGCAAGAUCUGGCUGUUUAAGAGUGUGUGGCAUCUUCCCCUUCAGACUCUUUUUUUUAAUUUUUUUUAUUUCCGUACGUUAUUGGGGAGCAGAUGGUAUUUGAUUACAUGAGUAAGUUCUUUGGUGGUGACUUGUGAGAUUUUGGUGCACCCAUCACCCAAGCAGUACAUACUGCACCCAAUUUGUAGUCUUUUAUCCCUCACCCCCUUCCCACCUUUCCCCUGAGUCCCCAAAGUCUAUUGUGUCAUUCCUAUACCUUUGCAUCCUCAUAGGAGUGAAAGAAUAUGAUGUUUGGUUUUCCAUCCCUGAGUUACUUCACUUAGAAUAAUAGUCUCCAGUCUCAUCCAGGUCACUGUAAAUGCCAUUAAUUCAUUCCAUUUAUGGCUGAGUAGUAUUCUAUCAUAUAUACACCACAGUUUCUUUAUCCACUUGUUAAUCGGUGGGCAUUUGGGUUGGUUCCACGUUUUUGCAAUUGAAAAUUGCGCUGCUAUAAACAUGCAUGUGCAAGUAUCUUUUUCAUAUAAUGACUUCUUUUCCUCUGGGUAGAUGCCCAGUAGUGGGAUUGCUGGAUCAAAUUGUAGUUCUACUUUUCUCCACACUGUUUUCCGUAGUGGUUGUACUAGUUUACAUUCACACCAGCAGUGUAGAAGUCCCUCAGACUCUUGUUCCUGCUCUCACGAUGUGAGAUGACAGCUCCCUCUUCACCUUCCACCAUGAUUGGAAGCUUCCUGAGGGCUCCCCAGAAGCUGAGCAGAUGCUGGUGCCAUGCCUCCUGUAUAGCCUGCAGAACCAGCCUCAGGCUGGGAUCCCUGUGCCACCCUUCUUAUCCCUGCACCUCAGGUGUGGCAGUUUUCAGGCAUGUCCAUGUGAAGAGACCACCAAACAGGCUUUGUAUGAGCAAUAAAGCUUUUUAAUCACCUGGGUGCAGGCAGGCUGAGUGCAAAAAGAGAAUCAGCAAAGGGAGAGAGGGAUGGGACUGUUUUAUAGGAUUUGGGUGGGUAGUGGAAAAUUACAGUCAAAGGGGGUUGUUCUCUUGUGGGCAGGGGCGGGGAUCACAAGGUGCUCAGUGGGUGAGCUUCUGAGCCAGGAGAAGGACUUUCACAAGGUUAGUUGCUCAGUUAAGGUGGGGCAGGAACAAAUCACAAUGGUGGAAUGUCAUCAGUUAAGGCAGGAACCGGCCAUUUUCACUUCUUUUGUGAUUCUUCACUUGCUUCAGGCUAUCUGGACAUAUACGUGCAGGUCACAGGGGAUAUGAUGGCUUAGCUUGGGCUCAGAGGCCUGACAUUCCUGCCUUCUUAUAUUAAUAAGAAAAAUAACAUAAAAUUGUAUUGAAGUGUUGGGGCAGUGAAAAUUUUUUGGGGGGUGGCAUGGAGAGAUAAUGGGCGAUGUUUCUCAGGGCUGCUUCAAGUGGGGGGUGGGAACCUAGAGUGGGAGACAUUAAGUUGAAGGAAGAUUUUGUGGUAAGGGGUGAUAUUGUGGGGUUGUUCGAAGGAGCAUUUGUCAUAUAGAAUGAUUGAUGAUGGCCUGGAUAUGGUUUUGGAUGAAUUGAGAAACUAAACGGAAGACACAAGGUCCAAAUUAGAGAAGGAGAAAAACAGGUAUUAAAGGACUAAGAAUUGGGAGGACCCAGGACAUCCAAUUAGAGAGUGCCCAAGGGGGUUCAGCAUAAUUACUUGCUUGGUUGGAGAGUUUUUGGGCUCUAUCCUUGAGUUUUUUUAUGUUGUCAUACACCAGACCAGAUUGAUUUAGGUAAAAACAACACUCUUCAUUUAAAAAUAUAGAGUCCUUUUUUUUCAGCAGUAAGUCAAGGCCUCGGCGGUUUUGGAGGACAACUGCAGCUAAAGAGUCAACUUGGGCCUGGAGGACUGAUAAAGUUUGUGAUAUGUCUGUGACGCUAGCAGAGAAGUCAUUAGAGAGGCUACGGAAGGUCGUGACAGAGGUUGAAACGCCUGCUGUUCCAGUACCAAGAGCAAUAGUGGAGGCAGAAAGUCCUAAACCGACAAGCAAGGGAAUUAGUGGAAUAACUCUUUUUUGUUGUGUCAUGAGGGGAACAGGGAGCUCUUCAGUCCCAUUUGCAAAUUGAAUUUUGGGAGUAAGGAAAACAGUGUGCAUGUGCCUGUCCAAUUAGCAGGUAGACACAUGUAGGUAGAGGAUCCACAGAGGAAGAAAAGACCUUGUGCGAGGCAAAACUGGAAAUGCAAAGUAAAAAGAUGAGAAGGAGUGCUGAAAGAGGUGUCUUGUACCUGGACUACUAGGGAUCCAGCUAGGGCGGCAGCCAUCAGAGGUUGUAAUGGGGACUGAUGGGGUAACUGCAUAGAGGGGAAGGUUCGAUUUUCAUGGUGUAUGAGAAAACGUUGAGUGUCUACAAGCAACCUUUCACUGUUAUUUACGGGGCUGGGUAUAAGUAAACAAGAAGAGGGCCUGGGAGGAGAGUCUGAAAAGCAAGGGGAAGGUAGCCAAGGAUGGAGUGAAAUACAGGGUAAGUGUCUUCCUAAGUAAUAAUUACUGCUAACGUUUUUAAGUUUGCCAGUAUUGAUAGAGGGCUUAUCUGUAAUACGGAGCUGGAAGGCCCCAAUUGUUUCAGUGAUGUGUGUAGUUGUGUUUUGGAGAUGAAGAGUGAAGGAACAUUGAGAAGGUGAAAGGUUACCCAGGGGAAUUCCAGUGGGUCUUUGCUGAGAGAUACAUAAAGGAGCAGCCACAGGAAUAGUUUGUGUUGUGAGGGGUCCAAAUAUGGGGGGAGUAGAGUUGAUAUAAGGAGAAAGGUUUUUAAAGUAAGUGCAGAGGAGGGCGGCAGCUUGCUGAUGUGAAAUGUCUGGGGAGGUCUUGCUGGACCUGCCUAGAAAGUAAAGAAGUUCUUCAGGAGGGUAAAGGUGAGGGCUGUUAAAGGAAGUUCGGAGGUGUAGGGAUACAGGAGAUGUUGCCCAGUCUGUAUGUAAGGCGGGGACAGCUGUGUAGGUGCAGGAAGAAAGGGAAAUGCAAAGCCAGCAAUUACUCACUAAGGAGGGAUUAGAAAUGGCUAGGAGACAGUGAGUAAGGUUGAUAGUGUUGUGGAGAUAGCUGGGGAGAGGUUGAGGGUGGCAUAAGAAUGGAAAUGAGAAUAAAAGUGAGUAUAAAAGUAAAGAAUAGAACUGCAUCAGGGUGAAAAUAUUGGAGGGUGCCCUGCCAGCAAAGAUCAUCUAUCCACUCUAAGAGGGAGUUAAGAGUGGUAGUUUGGGGAUAGCACUAGGAGAUAUCAGCUGUGAUGGCUUGGAGAAACAGCAUAAACCAGCAGUGUAAACAAGAGUAGGGCAUUUAUGAGCAGUUGAGAACAGUGAAUAGGAGUAUGACUAGACAGAAGAUAGUAGGGAUGACUAGUUUUUGGGGCUCAGUCCAAGUAGUGGGGGUGACUGCAUAAAGCCCUGUUGCAAAAAGUAGGGUAAGGAUGAAUACACUUAAUAGAAUGAAGGGAUGUAUUAGGCUCAUAAGGGUUAUUACUGUUCUUCAGAAAUGCGAGUGAGUUUAAGGGAAAUAGGGGAGAGUACUUGCGACUUCCAGGAGGAAGAGGAGAAAUCAGGCUGGCUGUCUGACAGACACAGCUUUAUUCUGGAAUAGUGAACCCAAUGGGGAGGGUCCUGCAGGCAGACUGCAGUUGGGGUACUAUAGAUGAUUAAGUAGGGUCCAGUCCAUUGCGGUUGUAGAGUUUGAGGGGUCAGAUUCUUAACAAGAACUGAUCGUCCAGCUAGGGUGUCUUCAUAUGGCUGGGAAUCUGGAGUGGGCAAGAGAAGAUUAGCAGCCUGGCAAAUUUCCUGUCUAGCCUGCUGGAGGACUGGAAGAUAGUCACCUAGAGGGCUGGUGUCUGGAACGAGGUUGGGGCUGAGCAAGAAAGUGCAUCCAUAUAAAAAUUCAAAUGGACUGUACCCUGUAGCAUCUCGAGGACAGGCUCUAAUUCUGAGAAGGACAAGAGGUAAAAGUACUGUCCAGUCCUUUUUAAGUUGGAGGCUGAGCUUGGUGAGGUGUGUCUUUAAAAGACCACUAGUCUGUUCUACCUUUCCCGAAGACUGAGGACGGUAAGGGGUAUGAAGGUUCCACUGAAUACCAAGAGCCUGAGAAACUGCUUGGGUGAUUUGACUUGUAAAGGCUGGUCCGUUAUCAGAGUGUAUAGAGGUGGGAAGGCCAAACCAAGGAAUUAAGUCUGACAGAAGGGAAGAAAUGGCUGCGGUGGCCUUCUCAGACCCUGUGGGAAAGGCCUCUACCCAUCCAGUGAAAGUGUCUACCCAGACCAAGAAGUAUUUUAGUUUCCUGGCUUGGGGCACGUGAGUAAAGUCAAUUUGCCAGUCCUGGGCAGGGGCAAAUCCCUGAGCUCGAUGUGUAGGGAAGGGAGGGGGCCUGAAAAAUCCCUGAGGGGUAGUAGAAUAGCAGAUGGAACAGAGAAGUGAUUUUCUUGAGGAUAGAUUUCCACAGUGGAAAUGAAAUGAGAGGUUCUAAGAGACGGGCUAGUGGCUUAUAACCUACAUGGAAGAGGUUGUGAAAUGACAACAGAAUAGAAUGGGCCUGUAAGGCUGGAAGGAGAUAUUUUCCUUGGUCUAAGAACCAUUUGCCUUGUGUGGGAAGAGAUUGAUAGGUGGAAAUUUCAGUGGGGGAGUAGGCGGGAGUGACCGAUGAGAAGAAGAAAAACUGGCCAUGAGGGACAGAAGUUGGAAUGCUAGCUGCUUCUUUAGCUACCUUAUAAGCAUAAGCGUUGCCUAGAACAAUGGGAUCUGACACCUUUUGAUGGCCCUUGCAGUGAAUGACUCCAGCUUCCUUUGGAAGUGAAGCAGCCUUGAGAAGGGUUUUUAUUAAGGAGGCAUUGAUGAUAGAGGACCCUUGCAUAGUGAGGAAACCUCUUUGUGCCCAUAUAACAGCAUGGUGAUGGAGGAUAUGGAAGGCAUAUUUAGAGUUAGUAUAAAUAUUGACACGUAGUCCCUUUGCAAGAGUGAGGGCUCAAGUUAAGGCAAUGAGUUUGGCUUGCUGAGAGGUAGUGCAGGGGGGCAGAGUGGUAGCCUCAAUGAUAGAUGUGGAAGAUACUAUAGCAUAGCCUGCCUUAGCUGGUGAGUGGUGAUUAGGCCUGGUGGAACUGCCAUCAAUAAACCAAGUGUGAUCAGGGUGAGGAACAGGAAAGAAGGACAUAUGGGGAAAUAGGGUGAAUGUCAGGUGGAUCAGAGGGAUACAGUCAUGGGGGUCAGGUGUGGUAUCCGGAAUAAUGUGAGAGGCCGGAUUGAAGUCCAGGCCAGGAACAAUGGUAAUUGUGGGAGACUCAACAAAGAGUGAGUAUAGCUGAAGGAGCCAGGGGGCAGAAAGUUUAUGCAUCAGGUGUGAGGAAGAAAAUAGAUUUUGGAAGUUAUGAGAGCUGUAGAGAGUCAGUUGAGCAUAGUUUGUGAUUUUGAGGGCCCGUAAAAGUAUUAGGGUGGCAGCAGCCAUCGCACAGAGACAUGAUGGCUAGCCUAAAACAGUAAGGUCAAGUUGUUUGGACAAAAAGGCUACAGGGCACGGUCCCAGUCCUUGUGUAAGAAUUCCUACUGCACAGCCCUGCACUUCGGCUGUGUGUAAUGAAAAUGAGUGGGGAAAGGAUUUAGGGUCUAUGGGGUCAGCUAGGUUUCCUUUUGUGAGUUUAUAUAAUGGUUUUUUUAGGAUAACAAAAUCAGGUAUCCAAAGGCAAAAGUAUCCAACCAUGCCUAGGAAGGAAAGGAGCUGUUGUUUUGUAGAAGGGAUUGGGGUUUGAGAGAUCAGUCAGACACGAUUGGCAGGGAUAGCAUAUGUGUUUUCAUGAAGAAUUAUGCUGAGGUAGGUAACAGAUGGAGAAGAAAUUUGAGCUUUGGAGGGGGAUGAUACCCAAUAUCCUUUGGAGAAUAAAUGUUGAAGGAGCAGGAGGGUGUCUUGUUGAGAAGAUUCAAAGGAGGGGCUACAAAGUAGAAGGUCAUCAAUAUAUUGAAUCAGGUGAGAAGCAGAGGGGUGGAAAGAAAGUAAAUCAUGAGAAAGAGUUUGGCUGAAGUAAUGAGGGCUGUCCCUGAAGCCUUGCAGCAGUACGGCCCAGGUAAGCUGCUGGGACUGAUGGGUGUCAGGGUCAGUCCAGGUAAAAGCAAAGAGAGGCUGGGACAAGGGGUGCAGGGGAAUAGUGAAAAAAGCAUCUUUAAGAUCAAGAACAGAAUAGUGAGUUGUGGAGGAAGGUAUUGAGGACAAAAGAGUGUACAGAUUGGGCACUACAGGGUGGAUAGGCAAAACAAUU